AGAUUGAACGCUGGCGGCAUGCCUAACACAGCAAGUCGAACGGUAACAGGAACAGCUUGCUAUUUGCUGACGAGUGGCGGACGGGUGAGUAAUGUAUAGGAACUUGCCUAGUAGUGGGGGACAACUUAUGGAAACGUAAGCUAAUACCGCAUAAUCUCUACGGAGGAAAGUGGGGGACCUUUCGGGGCCUCACGCUAUUAGAUAGGCCUAUAUCAGAUUAGCUAGUUGGUGAGGUAAUGGCUCACCAAGGCGACGAUCUGUAGCUGGUUUGAGAGAAUGAUCAGCCACACUGGGACUGAGACACGGCCCAGACUCCUACGGGAGGCAGCAGUGGGGAAUAUUGCACAAUGGAGGAAACUCUGAUGCAGCAAUGCCGCGUGUGUGAAGAAGGCCUUAGGGUUGUAAAGCACUUUCAAUAGGGAGGAAAAGUUAGUAGUUAAUAACUGCUAGCCGUGACGUUACCUAUAGAAGAAGGACCGGCUAACUCCGUGCCAGCAGCCGCGGUAAUACGGAGGGUCCGAGCGUUAAUCGGAAUUACUGGGCGUAAAGCGCGCGUAGGCGGUUUACUCAGUCAGAUGUGAAAGCCCCGGGCUCAACCUGGGAACUGCAUUUGAUACUGGUAGGCUAGAGUAUGGUAGAGGUGAGUGGAAUUUCAGGUGUAGCGGUGAAAUGCGUAGAGAUCUGAAGGAACAUCAGUGGCGAAGGCGACUCACUGGGCCAUUACUGACGCUGAGGUGCGAAAGCGUGGGUAGCAAACAGGAUUAGAUACCCUGGUAGUCCACGCCCUAAACGAUGUCAACUAGGUGUGUGAGAGUUUAUCUCUUGCGUAUCGAAGCUAACGCGAUAAGUUGACCGCCUGGGGAGUACGGUCGCAAGACUA
rnacentral:rRNA from 1 species